UGGAAAGGCAAAUGUUAUCAGGAGGCAAGGAAAUGUCCAGUUGGUCUCUGGAUUUAUGUAUGCUUUCUCAAACACUAGAAAACUUAUUGAGUCAGGUCAUAGUUUUUCAGAGAAAUCUGUGUGAAUUUCAAAGUGAGCCUUUCUUUUUCAUUUUGACUGACCGUAGUCUGAAAUUUAUGCCCAUUUACUGCUGUGAAAGUAAUAUUAUUUCUGAAAGAUACUAAUGUACAUUUACUAUUUCUUUGUUCCUGAUCUCCUUCUGUUUAGCCGGAGGCAACUGUGUAACUAGGACUAAAUGGAAUUGUAUUUUCAGAAUGAAAGCUGAGGACAUCAUCCCAAGUAUCAUCUAGAAGAGAUAUGAGACUUCUAGGAGAGCACGAAGGACAUGAAGAUUCCAAGAGCUAUGUGACCUCACCUACCUUCUUCGAGCCUCAAGAUCAAUGUUAAUGCUAUGUACCUGCAGGAAGAAAGAAAGGUGCUUCUUCUUAGAUCCUUUCUUGCUUCAAUGCCUCAAAAAUAUCUCCUCAGUCCUUCUCUGUUGGUUCUAUCAACAAUCCCACCUCUGUAGACUCAGCUCUUACAGAAGACAAGGUAA
ensembl:lncRNA